UACAGAGGGGGCAAGCGUUGUUCGGAAUUACUGGGCGUAAAGGGCGCGUAGGCGGCCUGUUAAGUCGAACGUGAAAUCCCCGGGCUCAACCCGGGAACUGCAUCCGAUACUGGCAGGCUUGAAUCCGGGAGAGGGAUGCGGAAUUCCAGGUGUAGCGGUGAAAUGCGUAGAUAUCCGGAGGAACACCAGUGGCGAAGGCGACUUUCUGGCCUGUUCUUGACGCUGAGGCGCGAAAGCUAGGGGAGCAAACGGG
rnacentral:rRNA from 1 species